GGGCUGUAAUGCUUUUGUCAUAUGCAAGCCAGCUGAAUGUGUUAAAGAUAGUGUAGCACAUAUUUGUUAUGUCUACAGAGAGAUCGGGAAAUGAAUAUAUCGAUGUUUAAAGCAAGGCAACAGUAAGAGGAACAUCCCAGUCAACAGUAUGUAGUUGUGGCCAGAACACUAAACCUGUUACAUUCAGUUUAUUUGAAGUCUCACCUUUAAGGCUGACCACCAAUGGUAUAAGAGUAAUUCUUUCAGUUCAAAUGAUUGCGCACUAUGAAGCUGAAAUACAUGAAUAUUACUGAGUUUAACCUGGUCCAAGUUUGUACUGAAGCAUGGCCAUCUCCAAUCACAAAGCAUGGAGCUGUCUCUCUCAGGAUACUCUAGAGCAGCAAAGAGCCAUAGUCCAAUGGCCUACUCUGCCAUAGCCAGCAUCCUGAAAAAUGAUAUCAGCAACUGUUGGUAUGGCCUGUGAGGGGACUGUAUUGUGUGGGUUGCCCUUCUUAAGCUACCUGUUAACAUUGCCACUGCUCCUGAGAAAAAGCAAGCCAAUAUCCAAGGCCCUCCCCAGCUCUUUGUCUUAGUUACAUCAUUUGUUUUGGUAUUUUACAUUCCUGCGCCAUCCCAUCUUC